rnacentral:rRNA from 1 species
GACGAACGCUGGCGGCGUGCCUAACACAUGCAAGUCGAACGGAGUUGUUCCUUCGGGGACAGCUUAGUGGCGAACGGGUGAGUAAAGCGUGAGAAACCUGUCUUUCAGUGGGGGACAACAGUUGGAAACGACUGCUAAUACCGCAUAAUGUAUCGAUGGGGCAUACUGUUGAUCCUAAAGAUUUAUAGCUGAAAAGUGGUUUCGCGUCUGAUGAGCUAGUUGGUGAGGUAGCGGCUCACCAAGGUGACGAACAGUAGCCGGUUUGAGAGGAUGAACGGCCACAUUGGGACUGAGAUAAGGCCCAGACUCCUACGGGAGGAAGCAGUGGGGAAUAUUGGGCAAUGGGGGAAACCCUGACCCAGCAACGCCGCGUGAAGAAAGAAGGCCUUCGGGUUGUAAACAUCUUUUACCAGGGACGAAGAACGUGACGGUACCUGGAGAAAAAGCAACGGCUAACUACGUGCCAGCCGCCGCAGUAAAAC